UACGGAGGAUCCAAGCGUUAUCCGGAUUUAUUGGGUUUAAAGGGUGCGUAGGUGGGUUGGUAAGUCAGUGGUGAAAUCCCCGAGCUUAACUUGGGAACUGCCAUUGAUACUAUCAGUCUUGAAUACCGUGGAGGUCGGCGGAAUAUGUCAUGUAGCGGUGAAAUGCUUAGAUAUGACAUAGAACACCAAUUGCGAAGGCAGCUGACUACGCGAGUAUUUACACUGAGGCACGAAAGCGUGGGGAUCAAACAGG
rnacentral:rRNA from 1 species